AGCCGUGUGGUGAGCUCAAAGCGAACUAAUCUUUCGCCUUUUACUAAAGAAUACCGUGUGCUCUCCACGCCCAAUGGCAUACACCUAUUUUUGGAGGAGUAACUUCUUCUGAAGUUU
rfam:Capsella rubella cultivar Monte Gargano unplaced genomic scaffold scaffold_3, whole genome shotgun sequence.